UACGUAGGGGGCAAGCGUUGUCCGGAAUCACUGGGCGUAAAGGGCGCGUAGGCGGCGCGGGAAGUCAUCGGUGAAAGUUCAGGGCUCAACUCUGAAUCGGCCGGUGAUACUCUCGUGCUCGAGCACUGUAGAGGCAGGUGGAAUUCCGGGUGUAGCGGUGGAAUGCGUAGAGAUCCGGAAGAACACCGGUGGCGAAGGCGGCCUGCUGGGCAGUAGCUGACGCUGAUGCGCGACAGCGUGGGGAGCAAACAGG
rnacentral:rRNA from 1 species